rnacentral:rRNA from 1 species
UACGUAGGGACCAAGCGUUGUUCGGAUUUACUGGGCGUAAAGGGCGCGUAGGCGGCUUGACAAGUCACUUGUGAAAUCUCCGGGCUUAACUCGGAACGGCCAAGUGAAACUGUCAUGCUAGAGUGCAGAAGGGGCAAUCGGAAUUCUCGGUGUAGCGGUGAAAUGCGUAGAUAUCUGGAGGAACACCGGUGGCGAAGGCGGCGUUCUGGACUGCAACUGACACUGAUGAACGAAAGCCGGGGGAGCAAACGGG